rnacentral:rRNA from 1 species
GUUGUAUGGUUAAGUGACUAAGCGUACAGGGCGGAUGCCUUGGCAAUCAGAGGCGAUGAAGGACGUGCUAAUCUGCGAAAAGCUUGGAUGAGUCGAUAAGAGGCGUUUAAUCCAAGAUGUCCGAAUGGGGAAACCCAGUAGAUGAAGAAUCUACUAUCAAUAAAUGAAUACAUAGUUUAUUGAGGCGAACCGGGAGAACUGAAACAUCUAAGUACCCCGAGGAAAAGAAAUCAACCGAGAUUCUGUGAGUAGCGGCGAGCGAAAGCGGAAGAGCCAGUAAGUUUUAGCUAGCAUAUUAGAGGAAUUGGCUGGGAAGCCAAAUCAAAGAGGGUGAUAAUCCCGUACUCGAAAGUAUGGUAGUAGAACUAAGCUUACGAUAAGUAAGGCGGGACACGAGAAAUCCUGUUUGAAGAUGGGGGGACCAUCCUCCAAGGCUAAAUACUCCUGAUUGACCGAUAGUGAACCAGUACUGUGAAGGAAAGGCGAAAAGAACCCCGGUGAGGGGAGUGAAAUAGAACCUGAAACCCUGUACGUACAAGCAGUAGGAGCGAGGGCAACCUUGUGACUGCGUACCUUUUGUAUAAUGGGUCAGCGACUUAUAUUUUGUAGCGAGGUUAACUGAAUAAGGGAGCCGAAGGGAAACCGAGUCUUAACUGGGCGUUGAGUUGCAAGGUAUAGACCCGAAACCCGGUGAUCUAGCCAUGGGCAGGUUGAAGGUUGGGUAACACUAACUGGAGGACCGAACCGACUAAUGUUGAAAAAUUAGCGGAUGACUUGUGGCUGGGGGUGAAAGGCCAAUCAAACCGGGAGAUAGCUGGUUCUCCCCGAAAUCUAUUUAGGUAGAGCCUUGAGCGGACACCUUCGGGGGUAGAGCACUGUUUCGGCUAGGGGUCCAUCCCGGAUUACCAACCCGAUGCAAACUGCGAAUACCGAAGAGUGAUACUCAGGAGACACACGGCGGGUGCUAACGUUCGUCGUGGAGAGGGAAACAACCCAGACCGCCAGCUAAGGUCCCGAAGUCUAUAUUAAGUGGGAAACGAAGUGGGAAGGCUUAGACAGCUAGGAUGUUGGCUUAGAAGCAGCCAUCAUUUAAAGAAAGCGUAAUAGCUCACUAGUCGAGUCGGCCUGCGCGGAAGAUGUAACGGGGCUCAAAUAUAGCACCGAAGCUGCGGCAUCAGAAUUUAUUCUGUUGGGUAGGGGAGCGUUGUGUAAGCGGAUGAAGGUGGCUCGAGAGGGUUGCUGGACGUAUCACAAGUGCGAAUGCUGACAUAAGUAACGAUAAAACGAGUGAAAAACUCGUUCGCCGGAAGACCAAGGGUUCCUGUCCAACGUUAAUCGGGGCAGGGUGAGUCGGCCCCUAAGGCGAGGCUGAAAAGCGUAGUCGAUGGGAAACGGGUUAAUAUUCCCGUACUUGGUAAAGCUGCGAUGUGGGGACGGAGAAGGUUAGGUAAGCGGACUGUUGGAUAUGUUCGUUUAAGCAGGUAGUUGGAAAGGGUAGGCAAAUCCGCUCUUUCAUACAACAACGAGACGUGAUGACGAGGCUCUACGGAGCUGAAGUUACCGAUACCCAGCUUCCAGGAAAAGCCACUAAGCGAAAGGCUUUACUAAACCGUACUGAAAACCGACACAGGUGGUCAGGUAGAGAAUACUCAGGCGCUUGAGAGAACUCGGGUGAAGGAACUAGGCAAAAUAGCACCGUAACUUCGGGAGAAGGUGCGCUUACAGUAAUUGUAGUCCCUUGCGGAUGAAGGUGAAGUAAGUCGAAGAUACCAGCUGGCUGCAACUGUUUAUUAAAAACACAGCACUCUGCAAACACGAAAGUGGACGUAUAGGGUGUGAUGCCUGCCCGGUGCUGGAAGGUUAAUUGAUGGUGUUAUCGAAAGAGAAGCUCCUGAUCGAAGCCCCAGUAAACGGCGGCCGUAACUAUAACGGUCCUAAGGUAGCGAAAUUCCUUGUCGGGUAAGUUCCGACCUGCACGAAUGGCAUAAUGAUGGCCAGGCUGUCUCCACCCGAGACUCAGUGAAAUUGAAAUCGCCGUGAAGAUGCGGUGUACCCGCGGCUAGACGGAAAGACCCCGUGAACCUUUACUAUAGCUUGACACUGAACAUUGAAUUUUGAUGUGUAGGAUAGGUGGGAGCCUUUGAAGCAGUGACGCCAGUCAUUGUGGAGGCGAC